GAUUCUUUGACUUCCUGCAGCGUGAGUUCGCCGACAAGCCCCACAAGAUCGUCGAGUUCCAGGCCAUCCUGCUCGAUUACUACUACAUGAGCAUCGACAUUGCCGGUGUGGUCGACCGCCUGCAGGUCGUGUUCCAAGGGUACCCCAACCUCGUGCGUGCUUUCAACACUCUCCUGCUGAUGGGUUACGCUCUCAAGCAGGAUGACCAGCAGGGAGGAGGAGGAGCAGGUGAUGCCUAGACAUGGCUGUGUGCUUCCUGUUACUUAUUGGUGGAUCUCUGUACUGCCAGGGCUGCCCAUUCCGCACUUCCAGUAGUGGUCGUGUGGAAUAGACUGCCAAAUAAUAUCAGACUAUACCUGUGUUGUCCCGUGUUUCCUAUUAAAUGGUGGAUCUGUGUAGUUCCGGGUGCGCCGGUUCUCUUCACUUCCA